rnacentral:rRNA from 1 species
CCUACGGGUUGCACCAGUGGGGAAUAUUGCACAAUGGACGCAAGCCUGAUGCAGCCAUGCCGCGUGUAUGAAGAAGGCCUUCGGGUUGUAAGUACUUUCAGCGGGGAGGAAGGUGUUGUGGUUAAUAACCACAGCAAUUGACGUUACCCGCAGAAGAAGCACCGGCUAACUCCGUGCCAGCAGCCGCGGUCAUACGGAGGGUGCAAGCGUUAAUCGGAAUUACUGGGCGUAAAGCGCACGCAGGCGGUCUGUCAAGUCGGAUGUGAAAUCCCCGGGCUCAACCUGGGAACUGCAUUCGAAACUGGCAGGCUAGAGUCUUGUAGAGGGGGGUAGAAUUCCAGGUGUAGCGGUGGAAUGCGUAGAGAUCUGGAGGAAUACCGGUGGCGAAGGCGGCCCCCUGGACAAAGACUGACGCUCAGGUGCGAAAGCGCGGGGAGCAAACAGGAUUAGAUACCCCAGUAGUC